UUCCUUAACAACACAUAUAUACUUACACAUAUACUAACAUUACAGUCAUAUACAACUGCAACCCCACCGACCCCAAAACCAACGGCCCAUACAUUCUAGUACAUAGGCGCAUACCCGUACACAUACACUAUUCAUCAUCCCAUCCCAACGUUGCCCGACAACUCGUACGAUUCCAUAAAUGUCUCUAUCCUAUUCAUUCUUUAUUUGCGGAGAGCUCGCCACAUAAAGCUUCGAGAAGCUUCAAUCGAUCCUUCACUAUUCACCUGGCUUCAGAAUCCAUCCGUUGGUUGAAAUUCGGCAUCUUUGGAAAGGAUGUGAGGAUAUUCCUUAUCCAUUUCAUGAAAUUUGAAUUUUGAAAUUCUAAUUUCAUCCGAAAACCCUAGAAUCUUUAUCUCCCCCCUCAUUUUCCCCAAUUCUUCUCCUAUAUAAAUUCCCUUCUUCUACAGUGAUGGUUUUUUUAGAGAAGAGACUAAGAAUAUCAUAUUAUUCUAAAAAAAACAAAUUACGUAAUCCUAAAUCUCAAAUAAGAUUAAGAAAAACACCAAAUUACCUAAUCCUAAAUCUCAAAGAAGAUUACUAUAGAAAUCCUUGCUCAAGUUUUGUUUCCGAUUCUCGAAUCAAGACUUAGUAUCAGUGGUGAAGAGGCUUCCGCUCAUCUCUUCCCAAAACUCUGUUCCAGAGAAGGACCGAGCACCAUCUACCACCGUGGAUAGAUCGAGCCUAUUGCAGUCAACUUCAGAGACUAGGGACCGAGCACUAGCUACCGCUGUGGAUAGAUCGAGCCUGUUGGAAUCAGCCUCAGAGACUAGGGUGAGCACUUGACAUUUUUGGAUCAUUCCUGUCUCCUUCAGUAUGGAUGGCCCAUCUUUUGCCGUUUGAGACUAGUCAAUUGUUGUAUAUAUUUUUGGUCCAUUUUUGGGACUUGUACUCAUCUUUUAUUUUGUAGCAGCUCUAUACUUGUGACUUCCAAGUUUUAGGAGGGAUCUUUAGUUGUUUAUAUCAUGUUUUGUUUUACUUCCGCUCAUUCUUUCUGCCUAUCUUUAUAAUUCGCCACUCUUGUUUAGUUUCUUCCCUCAAACCCAUUACUUGAA